GUGAGUCAUCGAAUCUUUGAACGCACAUUGCGCCCCGUGGCAUCCCGCGGGGCAUGCCUGUCCGAGCGUCAUUCUCAGCCCUCAAGCCCCGCUUGGCGUUGGGCCGCGCCCGUCCGCGGCGGGCCCCAAAGGCAGUGGCGGCGCCGCCGGUCCUACGCGCAGUAACGCCCUCGCCCCAGGACCGGGCGGCCGCCCGCUAGAACCCCCCCCGACCCACCGGCUGACCUCGGAUCAGGUAGGGAUACCCGCUGAACUUAAGCAUAUCAAUAAGCGGAGGA
rnacentral:misc_RNA from 1 species